rnacentral:rRNA from 1 species
UACGUAGGGUGCAAGCGUUAAUCGGAAUUACUGGGCGUAAAGAGUGCGUAGGCGGCUAUGUAAGACAGAUGUGAAAUCCCUGGGCUUAACCUAGGAACUGCAUUUGUGACUGCAUGGCUAGAGUGUGGUAGAGGGAGAUGGAAUUCCGCAUGUAGCAGUGAAAUGCGUAGAUAUGCGGAGGAACACCAGUGGCGAAGGCGACUACCUGGCCUGUUCUUGACGCUGAGGCGCGAAAGCUAGGGGAGCAAACGGG